GGUUCUAUGGUGUAAUGGUUAGCACUCUGGACUUUGAAUCCAGCGAUCCGAGUUCAAAUCUCUGUAGAACCU
rfam:Biomphalaria glabrata isolate BB02 linkage group LG60i unlocalized genomic scaffold LG60i_random_Scaffold1804, whole genome shotgun sequence.